UAAAUUAAACCCUAACCAAAUCCUAAUUCUAAACCAAAUCCUAACCAAAUCCUAAUCUUAAAUAAAAUCCUAAUCAAAUAUUAAUCCUAAAUCAAACCCUAACCAAAUCCUAAUCCUAAAUCAAAUCCUAACCAAAUCCUAAAUACUAAAUCAAAUCCUAAUAAUUCCUACAAUAGAUUUAGACCUCAAUUACUAAUAAAUGAACCGUUGAUCUUAACUCAAAAUUUGCAUUCUUUUCAACAAUUAAGUUGACAAUAAGUAUAAAAUUUUUUGAAAGAGAUCGGUUUUAUUAAAUAGAUGAUAGCCUCAAAAACGUGCUUGGAUAUUGGCCGACCUCCUUCUCCGAUCUUAAUACCAAUCUCAUAGAGCCAACAUCUCUCUUUUUCACCAUUCGAUUUAUCUCAAAAUUUUCAUAUACAUAGAAAAAUAAGUCUAAUAUUCUCUUACAUAAAUUUUACUCUAAUCCA
rnacentral:lncRNA from 1 species